AUAUGUCCUCGUUAGGUGAGGCUCCUAUACGAAUACAGGCCACUGCCCGGAAACAUCGAGAGAUGCCAAUGGGUAGAACAGGGAUUGCCGGAUUAAGGCUUUUCAUAAUGUGGCUAAGAAGUGGCAAGCUUCUUUACGUUGUAUAGUGCCAAAACUGUACCAGGGGGAAUGAA
rnacentral:sRNA from 1 species